UUAUAGAAUCUAGAAAGUGCCUAGUACUCCGCAAAGGGGAAUUCCUUGGUCAUUACUGGAAGCUAAAUUGUGGCCAUCUGAUUCAGCAGAUGGAAGAAAUGGAUUUUGCAUUUUCUUCCUGUUUUGCCAGCCAGGUAACCCCCGGUGGAGAUAGGCACCUGUGAGAAGUAUCACUGCUUCGUGGGUCAGGGGCUUGGACCCACCAGGGCUGUGUCACCUGCGGAUCAUGUGAACUCAACUCCCACCCCCCGGCCCCUGCCCAGCCUCCCCCACCAGGCUCGAUGUAAAGUGAUGGUGAAGUGAAAAUAGAUUUGGGGCCCUUGCCACCUCUUUCUGGUUGGUAACUUUGUUUCUUGGACAACAAUGCAGAGUUUGAAGCCCAUCCAGGGACAACAUUCCAUCUGCCCCCUGCAAGUUCCGGUGCGGUCUUCGCUAAGAGGCCAAGCAAGAUGAUGUAAUCACCUGAUGAGUUCCUCCUGCCCACUGCACAGACAAAACCAAUUCACUGAGACGACGGCAUUGCAAUAAAGAAAGAGCUUAAUUGACACAAGG